UAAUAACAAAAUCGAGGUGGUUCUGAAUUUAGGUGUAAUUCGAUUUUGAUUUCUUCCCCUAACGUCGUUUUACUCCUUUAUAGUUAAAAAAAAAAACCUUCAAUUAAAACUUUUUAACUCCAUGCCCAUUGCCAUUUUUUCUUCCUCAACCCCGAUUCUUAAACCCCAAAUUUGGAACCCUAGAUUUUUCUCUGCAGAACUUUUCUUAAUCCUUAUUUCGUCUUUGAUUUCGAGAAGCGUAAGCGGCAGCGUCCAGACGGUAAACGCCACUGCCACAGCCAUCGUUUCCGCCGAGUCCACAGUCCAUCCCUUAGUCUUCAAUUGUUCAGUGGUGCGGAAUAAACUGCCAUGACUUCUGGGCGGAAGGUCUUCUGAUUUGGAGUGGAGCACGACUCCCUUGAUUUUGGGGUAUAAUUUGGGUUUGAAUGAGAAUUUUAAGAGAUCCUAUACUUGACGAUAAAAUUACAAAUUGGUUAUAGGUGUAAGUCGUGUUUGUUUUGGGAAUUUAGCCUUUGUGAUUUUUGGUAAAUAUAUGUGUAAAACUAAAAAAAUGAAGAGCUAUUUAUGUUGUUUUGCUA